UUCUCAGUGACUUAGCUGGUAAAGAACCUGCCUACAGUGCAGGAGACCUGGGUUCAAUUCCUGGGUUGGGACA
rnacentral:tRNA from 1 species